rnacentral:rRNA from 1 species
AGUGAACGCUGGCGGUAGGCCUAACACAUGCAAGUCGAACGGCAGCACAGUAAGAGCUUGCUCUUACGGGUGGCGAGUGGCGGACGGGUGAGGAAUACAUCGGAAUCUACUUUUUCGUUGGGGAUAACGUAGGGAAACUUACGCUAAUACCGCAUACUACCUACGGGUGAAAGCAGGGGAUCUUCGGACCUUGCGCGAUUGAAUGAGCCGAUGUCGUAUUAGCUAGUUGGCGGGGUAAAGGCCCACCAAGGCGACGAUCCGUAGCUGGUCUGAGAGGAUGAUCAGCCACACUGGAACUGAGACACGGUCCAGACUCCUACGGGAGGCAGCAGUGGGGAAUAUUGGACAAUGGGCGCAAGCCUGAUCCAGCCAUACCGCGUGGGUGAAGAAGGCCUUCGGGUUGUAAAGCCCUUUUGUUGGGAAAGAAAAGCAGCAGGUUAAUACCCCGCUGUUCUGACGGUACCCAAAGAAUAAGCACCGGCUAACUUCGUG